rnacentral:rRNA from 1 species
UACGGGGGGGGCAAGCGUUGUUCGGAAUUACUGGGCGUAAAGGGCGCGUAGGCGGCCUUCUAAGUCGGACGUGAAAUCCCUCGGCUCAACCGAGGAACUGCGUCUGAUACUGGAAGGCUUGAAUCCGGGAGAGGGAUGUGGAAUUCCAGGUGUAGCGGUGAAAUGCGUAGGUAUCUGGAGGAACACCAGUGGCGAAGGCGGCAUCCUGGACCGGCAUUGACGCUGAGGCGCGAAAGCUAGGGGAGCAAACGGG